GCAUCCGUGGGUGAUGUCUUCUCACGGUGAAACCAUGGGUGAUGCUCAAGUUGGGGAUGAUGGUACUACUCAAACAACAAAGCCUUCAAUGCCAGUAACAAGUGGAACAAAAAGAAAAAACAUGAAGCCAAGAUCAAAAGUAUGGGAGCAUUUCACCAAAUUUGUGAAUGAAAGAGGUGAAAUUAGAGAUUUGCAAAAAAUUGCAUUGGAGGCAACUGUUGAUAUAUUGUAGCUGCCAAGUUGUUGAUGAUUUGGCGUUGGUGGCAAGUUACAUGCAAGGAAUUUGGGCAUAAGGAUUA